UGGUUCGUAAAGGUAUGAAACGCUCGUACUGUGAAACUGCGAAUGGCUCAUUAAAUCAUGUUUAUAGUUUAUUUGAUGGUCGUUUUGCUACAUGGAUAACUGUGGUAAUUCUAGAGCUAAUACAUGCACAAGGUCCCGACUUUUGGAAGGGACGUAUUUAUUAGAUCCAAAACCAGCGCGGGGCUCCUUGUGGGUCCCGGUCCCUGGGCGAUUCAUGAUAACUGUUCGAAUCGCACGGCCUUGGCGCCGGCGAUGGUCCAUUCAAAUUUCUGCCCUAUCAACUUUCGAUGGUACGGUAGUGGCCUACCAUGGUUGCAACGGGUGACGGAGAAUUAGGGUUCGAUUCCGGAGAGGGAGCCUGAGAAACGGCUACCACAUCCAAGGAAGGCAGCAGGCGCGCAAAUUACCCAAUCCCGACUCGGGGAGGUAGUGACAAUAAAUAACAAUGCUGGGCUCUUGUAGUCUGGCAAUUGGAAUGAGUCCAAUCUAAACCCCUUAACGAGGAACAAUUGGAGGGCAAGUCUGGUGCCAGCAGCCGCGGUAAUUCCAGCUCCAAUAGCGUAUAUUAAAGUUGUUGCAGUUAAAAAGCUCGUAGUUGGAUUUCGGGGCAGCCCGGCCGGUCCGCCGCGAGGCGAGUACUGGUCGGGCGCUCUUCCUCUCGAAGGCUUCGGCUGCUCUUGAUUGUAGUGGUCGAGGAGUUCGGGACGUUUACUUUGAAAAAAUUAGAGUGUUCAAGGCAGGCCGUCGCCUGAAUACAUUAGCAUGGAAUAAUGGAAGAGGACCUCGGUCCUAUUUUGUUGGUUUCUAGGGCCGAAGUAAUGAUCAAGAGGGACAGUUGGGGGCAUUCGUAUUUAAUUGUCAGAGGUGAAAUUCUCGGAUUUAUGAAAGACGAACAAGUGCGAAAGCAUUUGCCAAGGAUGUUUUCAUUAAUCAAGAACGAAAGUUGGGGGUUCGAAGACGAUCAGAUACCGUCGUAGUCCCAACCAUAAACUAUGCCGACUAGGGAUCGGCGGAUGUUAGCAUCUGACUCCGUCGGCACCUUGCGAGAAAUCAAGAGUGC
rnacentral:rRNA from 1 species